CCAGCCAUAGCUCAGUUGGUAGAGCGGAGGACUGUAGAGUAGAGCAGAUAUCCUUAGGUCGCUGGUUCGAGUCCGGCUGGCUGGA
rnacentral:tRNA from 1 species